ACUGAUAGAGCUUUCAUGUAACGCAGGAACCAUCUCCAAGCACCUCUUGAGUAUACAAGUUCGGGUUAUUGCUUGGUCGGUCGCACUCUGCAAUUUUCGGCUUAUCUUUUUAUCCCUCUUGCCUUGCUGCGAAAAGGUUUCUGCAGUAGCUUGAAGCUAUGGAGUGAUCCCUAUAGGAAAAAUCUUUUGGUGGUAUCUAAAUCCACAAGACUACAAGAGACCUAAUAAACAAGAACCCAUCUCUAACACAAGACACAGUUCCACAAGUAAUAGAGUAGACAAAAGGCACCCCCUAAAGCCAUUCAGCAAAAGAAAAAAAAUCGUGCUAAUACCAAGAAGAGAAUGAGAGAUGUAUUUGAUGACAAUGAAGACCUUGAAAACUUGCCACCGAAUCUGCCAACGACAUUAAAGGAUUUGUGCACGUGGGGGAACAAUUUCCUUAGAGACGGGGUCACCAUCCACACAACAUUUGCUGCAGACCUUUUUGGCCGUUCAAAGAAAGUCUGUCUGUUUAGAAGUGAUCUCUAUACCAUGGCCAACAAGCUAGAAGUAUCAAAUCAUGUACUUGUGUUUUACAUGAGCUACCUUCAUGAAGUCUUGAAGAAGUGUAAGAUGGUGGAUAUGGUUGCCUUUGUCGAUCCUGAUCAGACUGGUACACUUGGGUGUGAAAUCCCACUGAAAGGGCUCGGUCUUUGUCAGAUCGCUAUAGGCAAGGGAGGUUAGGGCAAAUCUUUGUGGUUCCACAUAACUCAGGAAGUCGUGCACUUCAUGGAUCCACUUAAAAGGCGACUCGAUACUGGGGAAUGGAAAUCUAUUGUCAACAACUCCAUUAAAAUCUUUAAUGCUCACAAGAAUCGGAAAGGAAGGAAAGUAAUUCAAUGGAAGAAUCUUGCUGGUAUUCCGGAGCAAAAAAAUGAGAAGAUUUGUGGAUAUUUCAUUAUGCGUUACAUGAAAGAAAUUUUGGAGGACAAGAACUUGGAUUUUAGUGUUAAGUGGGGAACGAGGUCAAAUUUGGUUUACACAGACAAGGAUAUUGAUGAGAUCCGAGCGGAAUGGGCUAAGCAUGUUUUGAAGUUCCCAGAAAAUUAAGUAUCAGCCUAUAUAUCUGCUUUUGUUUCUGGUAGCUUGAUAACUUGCAGUAGUAGUGUCUAGGAACUGCUUUUGUGCAUUUUGACAGAACUGAUGGAAAGUGUUGAACAAUAUAAUGCAUGCAGUUGCUGUAACUACUAUAUGGAUGCUACUAGGUUUUUGUCUUAGUUAGAUUAGGAUCCAUGCAACAAUGGCAGGGGUUAAUGUAAAGGCUAGCAUGCUAGCUAGUUUAAUUAGUAUUAUGCUACUGAUGGGAAUGUAUUUUGGUGUGUUAAUUGAUGCAAUGAGGAAUUUGCAGA